UAUUCUGCCCUACGGGGAAGGAUGAGAAGGUUCGACUCGAGCGUAGCGAGAGAACGUUGCCGCAGGCAACGGCCCGAAGGGCGAGGCGCUUUAGCGCCGAGUAAUCCUUCCCCCACCACCA
rnacentral:sRNA from 2 species